rnacentral:rRNA from 1 species
GUAGGUGGCAAGCGUUGUCCGGAAUUAUUGGGCGUAAAGCGCGCGCAGGCGGUCCUUUAGGUCUGAUGUGAAAGCCCACGGCUCAACCGUGGAGGGUCAUUGGAAACUGGGGGACUUGAGUACAGAAGAGGAAAGCGGAAUUCCAAGUGUAGCGGUGAAAUGCGUAGAGAUUUGGAGGAACACCAGUGGCGAAGGCGGCUUUCUGGUCUGUAACUGACGCUGAGGCGCGAAAGCGUGGGGAGCAAACAGGGAUUAGAUACCCUGGUAGUCCACGCCGUAAACGAUGAGUGCUAAGUGUUAGGGGGUUUCCCGCCCCUUAGUGCUGCAGCUAACGCAUUAAGCACUCCGCCUGGGGAGUACGGCCGCAAGGCUG